AUAUUACUAAGCGGAGGAGAAGAAAUUAACUAAGAUUGCCUUAGUAAGGGCGACUGAACCGGCAAAAGCUCGAAAUUGGAAUCGGGGAUUCAACGAAUCUUCGAAUUGUAAUCAGGGCUGCCUAAAUACGAGAGAUAGCUCAACCAUGUCGAACCAUGGGCCAGAGAGGGUGAAAGCCCCGUACAGCUUUUUCUCGCUCAAGGUAGUCUCACCAAGAGUCGGGUUGCUUGGAACUGCAGCCCUAAGUGGGAGAUAUGAAUCUUCCAAAGCUAAAUAAGGAUGGGAGACCGAUAGCGCACAAGUA
rnacentral:rRNA from 1 species